GACGAACCGUGCGAACGUUGUUCGGAAUCACUGGGCUUAAAGGGCGCGUAGGCGGCCGAGCGGGUCGGUGGGUGAAAUCCCCCAGCUUAACUGGGGAAGUGCUUACGAUACCACUGCGGCUGGAGGAAGGCAGGGGCACUUGGAACUGUCGGUGGAGCGGUGAAAUGCGUUGAUAUCGACAGGAAGCCGGUGGCGAAAGCGGAGUGCUGGUCCUUUUCUGACGCUGAGGCGCGAAAGCCAGGGGAGCAAACGGG
rnacentral:rRNA from 1 species